rnacentral:rRNA from 1 species
UACGGAGGGUGCGAGCGUUAAUCGGAAUGACUGGGCGUAAAGGGUGCGUAGGUGGUUCAUUAAGUCAGGGGUGAAAGACGGCAGCUUAACUGUCGCAGUGCCUUUGAUACUGAUGAACUUGAAUGAACUGAGAGGUAGGCGGAAUGUGAACAAGUAGCGGUGAAAUGCAUAGAUAUGUCACAGAACACCAAUUGCGAAGGCAGCUUACUAUGGUUUGAUUGACACUGAGGCACGAAAAGCGUGGGGGAUCAAAACAGGG